AUAAACAUAUGGAUGAUGAUGAGGAUGAGGAUGAGGACAUGAAAAUAUUUGCUGUUGCCCCUGUCUAAUAUUUAUAGCCUGGGAUAGAUCUCACUCCAAAGUUGGUGUGGAUUCUACUUCCUAUGAGGACUCUUGAGUGAUAUUACUAAAUAGAGUAAUAGUUUCUUCAUUAUAAUUUAAUGGUCUCCAUUAAAUUUACCUUUGCCUUUGCACAUAAGUUCAAAACUUAUAAUAACACAUGAUUAUUUUAACAGUGGUGCUUUGGUAAUUACUGUUACUCUGAUAAAUUCUACUAUUUUGACACAUUUUUUUUCAUGGAAAGUACUGGAUCUAAUUUGGUGCUGCAAAAAAGAUCUUCCACCUCUAUCUCCCCUCCCCCAUUUUUAUUGAACUGUGAAUUUCAACUGAAGGAAGUUUGAUUACAGUGUGGAGGAAGAAAUCUGUUUUUUUUUUAAAAUCACCCUAUUAUUCUUUUUAAUUAAGUGAGAUGAAGAACGUAGGGACUCUAAUAAGAGAUCUGCUUUCCCCACCUCUCUUUUUGUAAUGAGCUCUCUU